AGCAGCCGCGGUAAUUCCAGCUCCAAUAGCGUAUAUUAAAGUUGCUGCAGUUAAAAAGCUCGUAGUUGAAUUUCGGGACCAUCAUGUCGGUCGUGCCUCGGUACGUACUGGCAUUGUUGGUUUCUCCCUUCUGACGAACCAUGAUGUCAUUUAUUUGGUGUUGUGGGGAAUCAGGACUGUUACUUUGAAAAAAUUAGAGUGUUUAAAGCAGGCUCACGCUUGAAUACAUUAGCAUGGAAUAAUGAAAUAGGACGUUUGAUUCUAUUUUGUGGUUUCUAGGAUCGACGUAAUGAUUAAUAGGGAUAGUUGGGGCAUUAGUAUUCAAUUGACAGAGGUGAAAUUCUUGGAUUUAUUGAAGACUAACUACUGCGAAAGCAUUUGCCAAGGAUGUUUUCAUUAAUCAAGAACGAAAGUUAGGGGAUCGAAGACGAUCAGAUACCGUCGUAGCCUUAACCAUAAACUAUGCCGACUAGGGAUCGGAUGAUGUUAAUUUUUAAUGACUCAUUC
rnacentral:rRNA from 1 species